rnacentral:rRNA from 1 species
ACCCGUUGAUCCUGCGGGAGGUUGCCGCUAUUAGGGUUCGACUUAGACAUGCAAGUUUUCUCGUAAGAGAAGCGAAAUGCUCAGUAACACGUCGAUAAUCUGCCUUUGGGUUCAGGAUAACCUUGGGAAACUGAGGACAACACUGAAUAUGGGUUUAUAACUGGAAUGUUUUUACCUUGAAAAGCAAUGCCCAAAGAUGAGUCGGCGGCUGAUUAGGUUGUUGGCAGUGUAAUGGACUACCAAGCCUAUGAUCAGUAGGGGCCGUGAGAGCGGGAGCCCCGAGAAGAGUACUGAGAUACUGACUCUAGCCCCACGGGGUGCAGCAGUUACGAAACCUCUACAAUGCACGCAAGUGUGAUAGGGGAACCCUAAGUGCCUUGUUUAACAAGGCUUUUGCCGAAUGUAAAUAGUUUGGCGAAUAAGUGAUGGGCAAGACUGGUGCCAGCAGCCGCGGUAACACCAGCGUCACAAGUGGGAACCACAUUUAUUGGGCCUAAAGCGUCCGUAGCCGGGCUGUUAAAUCUUUUGUGAAAUUGUUGGGCUUAACUCAACGAAUUGCGAGAGACACUGACAAUCUUGGGACCGGGAGAAGUCGAAGGUAUGGAUGGGGGAGCGGUAAAAUGUUAUAAUCCCUUCUAGACCACCAGUGGCAAAGGCGUUUGACUAGAACGGAUCCGACGGUGAGGGACGAAAGCUAGGGGAGCAAACCGGAUUAGAUACCCGGGUAGUCCUAGCUGUAAACUCUGCGAACUAGGUGUCGCAUAUUCUACGAGAGUAUGCGGGAUCGUAGUGAAGACGUUAAGUUCGCCGCCUGGGAAGUAUAGUCGCAAGACCGAAACUUAAAGGAAUUGGCGGGGGAGUACUACAACAGGUGCGGCGUGCGGUUUAAUCUAACUCAACACAGAGAAUCUCACCAGAGGCGAUGGCAGAAUGAAGGUCAGUCUAAAGGGCUUACCUGACACGCCAAGAGGUGGUGCAUGGCCGCCGUCAGCUCGUGCCGUGAGGUGUCCAGCUAAGUCUGGUAACGAGCGAGACCUGCGUCUACAAUUGCUAGCAGCUUCAUUGAAGGACUGAGCACUUUGUAGAGACUGCCUUGGAAACGAGGAGGAAGGUUCAGGCUACGGAAGGUCUGUAUGCCCCGAAUCUUCUGGGCUACAUGCGCGCAACAAUGGUAAGAACAAUGGGAUGCGACUCUGAAAAGAGAAGCUAAACCUCGAAAUCUUACCCUAGUACAAAUCGAGGAUUGUAACCCAUCCUCGUGACGCUGGAAUCUGUAGUAAUCGGACUUUAUCAGAGUCCGGUGAAUAUGUCAAUGCUCCUUGCACACACCGCCCGUCAUCCCAUCCGAGCAGGGUUUGAGUGAGCUUUAGUUUUUUUGACUAAACCGAACUUGAGCUCAGUGAGGCGGGGCAAGUCGUCACAAGGUA